UACAGAGGAUGCAAGCGUUAUUCGGAAUGAUUGGGCGUAAAGCGUCUGUAGGUGGCUUUUUAAGUCCGCCGUCAAAUCCCAGGGCUCAACUCUGGACAGGCGGUGGAAACUACCAAGCUGGAGUACGGUAGGGGCAGAGGGAAUUUCCGGUGGAGCGGUGAAAUGCGUAGAGAUCGGAAGGAACACCAGUGGCGAAGGCGACUACCUGGCCUGUUCUUGACGCUGAGGCGCGAAAGCUGGGGGAGCAAACGGG
rnacentral:rRNA from 1 species